AUGCAGAGCUUAGUUCACAGGCUGACGGUGGUGGCACGCCAACCCAACCUCUCCUUCAAUUCUCACCGUAUCUCUCACACUCAUCCUCAACCUUCCAAUCUAGGGCAUCCCAUUCCCUCUUCCUCCGGCAUUCAUUAUUUUCACUCAUGGCGCUCCUCUCUCUCCCAACCAAUGGCCGUCCAACAGCUCUCGUUCCUCUCGCGCAACCAUCUCUCCGGUUUAUUCUCCAAAAGCCUCCUUGUUCGUAGUCUUCCCAGAGUUCAUUUUCAUCGGCAGAACUUCACUUUCAACCAAAACUAUAACUCUUACCGCCGUACUUGGUAA